rnacentral:rRNA from 1 species
UUAAAAAGCUUCAAACUGGGAUUAGAUACCCCACUAUGCCUAGCCUCAAACUAUGACUCAAUACAAAACACCAUCCGCCCGGGAACUACGAGCCCCAGCUUAAAACCCAAAGGACUUGGCGGUGCCCCACCCACCUAGAGGAGCCUGUUCUAUAAUCGAUAACCCCCGCUUAACCUCACCACUUCUUGCCAAUACCGCCUAUAUACCACCGUCGCCAGCCCACCCCGUGAGGGAAAUAGUAGGCACAAUGAUAAGUCACCAAAACGUCAGGUCAAGGUGUAGCGUAUGAAGUGGAAAGAAAUGGGCUACAUUCUCUAACCUAGAGCACACGAAAAAUCAUAUGAAAUUAGAUCAGAAGGAGGAUUUAGUAGUAAAAAGAAACAAUAGUGUUCUUUUUAAGUUGGCCCUGGGGCGCGCACACACCGCCCGUCACCCUCUGCAGUCAAA